GCGUCGAUAGCGCAACGGGUUAGAGCGCGCGCCCCGCGGAUAGGGUAAAACACGGGUUCGAGUCCCGCCUGACGCA